UGAACGCUGGCGGCAGGCCUAACACAUGCAAGUCGAACGGAGUUAUAUUGUAGCUUGCUAUGGUAUAACUUAGUGGCAGACGGGUGAGUAAUGUAUAGGAAUCUACCUAGUAGUACGGAAUAAUUGUUGGAAACGGCAACUAAUACCGUAUACGCCCUACGGGGGAAAAAUUUAUUGCUAUUAGAUGAGCCUAUAUUAGAUUAGCUAGUUGGUGGAGUAAUAGCCUACCAAGGCAAUGAUCUAUAGCUGAUCUGAGAGGAUGAUCAGCCACACUGGAACUGAGAUACGGUCCAGACUCCUACGGGAGGCAGCAGUGGGGAAUAUUGGACAAUGGGCGAAAGCCUGAUCCAGCCAUGCCGCAUGAGUGAAGAAGGCCUUUGGGUUGUAAAGCUCUUUUAGUGAGGAAGAUAAUGACGGUACUCACAGAAGAAGUCCUGGCUAACUCCGUGCCAGCAGCCGCGGUAAUACGGAGAGGGCUAGCGUUAUUCGGAAUUAUUGGGCGUAAAGGGCGCGUAGGCGGAUUAGUAAGUUAAAAGUGAAAUCCCAAGGCUCAACCUUGGAAUUGCUUUUAAAACUGCUAAUCUAGAGAUUGAAAGAGGAUAGAGGAAUUCCUAGUGUAGAGGUGAAAUUCGUAAAUAUUAGGAGGAACACCAGUGGCGAAAGCGUCUAUCUGGUUCAAAUCUGACGCUGAGGCGCGAAGGCGUGGGGAGCAAACAGGAUUAGAUACCCUGGUAGUCCACGCUGUAAACGAUGAAUGUUAAAUAUGGGAAGUUUUACUUUCUGUAUUACAGCUAA
rnacentral:rRNA from 1 species